rnacentral:rRNA from 1 species
UACGGAGGGGGCUAGCGUUGUUCGGAAUUACUGGGCGUAAAACGCACGUAGGCGGCUUUGCAAGUCAGGGGUGAAAGCCCGGAGCUCAACUCGGAACGGUCAAGUGAUACUGCGGUGCUAGAGUGCGGAAGGGGCAACUGGAAUUCUUGGUGUAGCGGUGAAAUGCGUAGAUAUCAAGAGGAACACCUGCGGCGAAGGCGGGUUGAUGGGCCGACACUGACGCUGAGGCGCGAAAGCUAGGGGAGCGAACAGG